GGACACCUGACCUCAGUACCCCCUGCAGCGCAAGGAGGAAUACGUCAGGAGUGGCUCCAAGACCAAGUAUUGACUGAGGACCUACUGUGUAGCUGGGAAAAAGCAGGGAGCAGGACACACUGAGCCCCUACCCUCAGGAGUUCUAACAGGAGACGGACUAUACACACCUCAGCAAACACCCAGACAAGCUACUGCCUAGUGGAGAUUCCACUCAUGGGCCAGAACAUUUUAUGCUGAAAUUGUCUCAUACCUGUUCACAAGUGAUUUGAGCCCAUCUCCUCCAAAUGGACACUAAAAUCAGCCAAGGUGGGAAUAUUUACAGCAUGGGAAUCAGCAAAUUCUAAAAAACAGGAAUCUUUAUUUCCAGAGAGCUAGUUACUAAACUUUUACCACGUACCACUGCAUCACCAGACCCUUAAAAGCUGUUUGAAAAAAGAUUAACAAACUCACACCAAUGUAUAGUUGACAAUAAAAUUUAAUACUUCUGUGUGCCAAACACAUACCUAUUA